UGGGGAAUAUUGGACAAUGGGCGCAAGCCUGAUCCAGCAAUACCGCGUGAGUGAUGAAGGCCUUCGGGUUGUAAAGCUCUUUUAGUAGGGAAGAUAAUGACGGUACCUACAGAAAAAGCACCGGCUAACUUCGUGCCAGCAGCCGCGGUAAUACGAAGGGUGCUAGCGUUGUUCGGAAUCAUUGGGCGUAAAGCGUGCGUAGGCGGUAUGAUAAGUCGGUUGUGAAAGCCCAGGGCUUAACCCUGGAAUUGCAAUCGAUACUGUUAUGCUAGAGUAUGGUGGGGGAUAGUGGAAUUCCUAGUGUAGGGGUGAAAUCCGUAGAUAUUAGGAGGAACACCGGUGGCGAAAGCGACUAUCUACGCCAUUACUGACGCUGAGGUACGAAAGUGUGGGGAGCAAACAGG
rnacentral:rRNA from 1 species